rnacentral:pre_miRNA from 1 species
AUAAUACUCCCUCCGUCCGGAAUUACUUGUCAUCAAAAUGGAUGUGUCUAGAACUAAAAUACAUCUAGAUACAUCCAUUUCAACGACAAGUAUUUUCGGACGGAGGGAGUAGUAG